CAUAGAUCUCGUCGCUUACUGGGA
rnacentral:miRNA from 1 species